rnacentral:rRNA from 1 species
GUGGCAGCCGCCGCGGUAAUACGGAGGGUGCGAGCGUUAAUCGGAAUUACUGGGCGUAAAGGGCGCGUAGGCGGUCGCGCAAGUCGGGUGUGAAAGCCCCGGGCUCAACCUGGGAAUUGCAUUCGAUACUGCGUAACUAGAGUCUGGUAGAGGGAAGCGGAAUUCCGCAUGUAGCGGUGAAAUGCGUAGAUAUGCGGAGGAACACCAGUGGCGAAGGCGGCUUCCUGGACCAAGACUGACGCUGAGGCGCGAAAGCGUGGGGAGCAAACAGGAUUAGAUACCCUGGUAGUCCACGCCCUAAACGAUGAGGACUAGACGUUGGGGGGAUAAAACCCUUUAGUGUCGCAGCUAACGCGUGAAGUCCUCCGCCUGGGGAGUACGGCCGCAAGGUUGAAACUUAAAUGAAUUGGCGG